rnacentral:rRNA from 1 species
AGACGUCUACAUUAGAUACCCGCGUAGUCCCAGCCGUAAACUAUGCGCGUUAGGUGUAUCGGUGACCACGAGUUACCGAGGUGCCGAAGGGAAACCGUGAAACGUGCCGCCUGGGAAGUACGGUCGCAAGGCUGAAACUUAAAGGAAUUGGCGGGGAGCACAACAACGGGUGGAGCCUGCGGUUUAAUUGGACUCAACGCCGGGAAGCUCACCGGAUAAGACAGCGGAAUGAUUGCCGGGCUGAAGACUCUGCAUGACUAGCUG